rnacentral:miRNA from 1 species
UUUUUUUUGGUAUAAGUAUAUCCCACACAAUAUUUGGGAAAUACUUAUACUAAAAAAAAAAUUGUUCAUUUUUUUCAUCAGAAUUCAAAUUUAACUGGGUGCCCUGUAUU